UACGGAGGGUGCGAGCGUUGUCCGGAAUCACUGGGCGUAAAGGGCGCGUAGGCGGCCAGAUAAGUCGCGUGUGAAAUCCCGGUGCUCAACGCCGGGGCCGCACGUGAGACUGUCCGGCUGGAGCUCGGUAGAGGCGAGUGGAAUUCCCGGUGUAGCGGUGGAAUGCGUAGAUAUCGGGAAGAACAUCGGUGGCGAAGGCGGCUCGCUGGGCCGAUGCUGACGCUGAGGCGCGAAAGCGUGGGGAGCAAACAGG
rnacentral:rRNA from 1 species